GACGAACGCUGGCGGCGUGCUUAACACAUGCAAGUCGAACGGUGAAGCGCUUGCCUUUUUGGUGGGUGUGGAUGAGUGGCGAACGGGUGAGUAACACGUGAGUAACCUGCCCUCUUCUUCUGGAUAACCUCAUGAAAGUGGGGCUAAUACGGGGUAUUCCGGGUCUGUCGCAUGGCGGGUUUGGGAAAGAUUGCGCCUUUGGGUGUUUUCAGUGGGGGAUGGGCUCGCGGCCUAUCAGCUUGUUGGUGGGGUGAUGGCCUACCAAGGCGGUGACGGGUAGCCGGCCUGAGAGGGUGGACGGCCACACUGGGACUGAGACACGGCCCAGACUCCUGCGGGAGGCAGCAGUGGGGAAUAUUGCACAAUGGGCGCAAGCCUGAUGCAGCGACGCCGCGUGAGGGAUGGAGGCCUUCGGGUUGUGAACCUCUUUCGCCAGUGAAGCAGGCCUGCUCCUGUGUGGGUGGGUUGACGGUAGCUGGAUAAGAAGCGCCGGCUAACUACGUG
rnacentral:rRNA from 1 species